rnacentral:rRNA from 1 species
AUACAGGACUCAUAUCCGAGGCCCUGUAAUUGGAAUGAGUACAUUUUAAAUCCUUUAACAAGGACCACUUGGAGGGCAAGUCUGGUGCCAGCAGCCGCGGUAAUUCCAGCUCCAAUAGCGUAUAUAAAAGUUGUUGCGGUUAAAACGUUCGUAGUUGAACUUGUGCUUCAUACGGGUAGAACAACUUACAAUUGUGGUUAGUACUAUACCUAUAAUACUAUGUAAGCGUAUUACCGGUGUAGUUCUUAUAUGUGAUUAAAUACUUGUAUUUUUUCAUAUGUUCCUCCUAUUUAAAAACCUUGCAUUAGUGUUUAAACGAGUGUUAUUGUGGGCCGGUACUAGUACUUUGAACAAAUUAGAGUGCUUAAAGCAGGCUUCAAAUGCCUGAAUAUUCUGUGCAUGGGAUAAUGAAAUAAGACCUCUGUUCUGCUUUCAUUGGUUUUCAGAUCAAGAGGUAAUGAUUAAUAGAAGCAGUUUGGGGGCAUUAGUAAUACGACGCGAGAGGUGAAAUUCUUGGACCGUCGUAAGACUAACUUAAGCGAAAGCAUUUGCCAAAGAUGUUUUCAUUAAUCAAGAACGAAAGUUAGAGGUUCGAAGGCGAUCAGAAACCGCCCUAGUUCUAACCAUAAACGAUGCCAGCUAGCAAUUGGGUGUAGCUACUUUUAUGGCUCUCUCAGUCGCUUCCCGGGAAACCAAAGCUUUUGGGCUCCGGGGGAAGUUGCAAAGCUGAAACUUAAAGGAAUUGACGGAAGGGCACCACCAGAAGUGGAGCCUGCGGCUUAAUUUGAGUCAACACUGGAAAACUUACCAGGUCCGAACAUAAGUGUGUAAGACAGAUUGAUAGCUCUUUCUCGAAUCUAUGGGUGGUGGUGCAUGGCCGUUCUUAGUUCGUGGAGUGAUUUGUCUGGUUAAUUCCAAUAACGAACGAGACUCAAAUAUAUUAAAUAGAUAUCUUCAGGAUUAUGGUGAUGAAGCUUAUAUAGCCUUCAUUCAUGGUGGCAGUAAAAUGUUUAUUGUGUUUGAAUGUGUUUAAGUAAGUGGAGCCGGACCUGUUGGCUUGUAGCAUUAUAAGGACACUAGCUUCUUAAAUGGACAAAUUGCGUCUAGCAAUAAUGAGAUUGAGCAAUAACAGGUGUGUGAUGCCCUUAGAUGUCCUGGGCUGCACGCGCGCCACAAUGAAAGUAUCAACGUGUAUUUCCUAGACCGAGAGGUCCGGGUAAACCGCACGUCUCCGGACGUGAUCACUGUGACGCCUUGCGUGUUACGGUUGUUUCGCAAAAGUUGACCGAACUUGAUUAUUUAGAGGAAGUAAAAGUCGUAACAAGGUUUCCGUAGGUGAACCUACGGAAGGAUCAUUA